rnacentral:rRNA from 1 species
UGGGGAAUUUUGGACAAUGGGGGAAACCCUGAUCCAGCCAUCCCGCGUGUGCGAUGAAGGCCUUCGGGUUGUAAAGCACUUUUGGCAGGGAAGAAACAGCCUGGGCUAAUAUCCCGGGCGACUGACGGUACCUGCAGAAUAAGCACCGGCUAACUACGUGCCAGCAGCCGCGGUAAUACGUAGGGUGCAAGCGUUAAUCGGAAUUACUGGGCGUAAAGCGUGCGCAGGCGGUUCGGAAAGAAAGGUGUGAAAUCCCAGGGCUUAACCUUGGAACUGCACUUUUAACUACCGGGCUAGAGUACGUCAGAGGGGGGUAGAAUUCCACGUGUAGCAGUGAAAUGCGUAGAGAUGUGGAGGAAUACCGAUGGCGAAGGCAGCCCCCUGGGAUGAUACUGACGCUCAUGCACGAAAGCGUGGGGAGCAAACAGG